UUUAGCUUUGAUCUCCCUCAUUGAGUUUUGCUGCCGGGGUGUGUUUAUAUCUAUUUCUAUUUAUCUUUUUAGCUCUGAAAUUCCGUGCUGCUGUGUCUGCCUUUUGUAACACAACAGAAGGGAGUUUUGUCUAGUUCCGUGCAAGCGAUUUAAGUCACUUAAGACAAGAAGGCGGCGGAAGUGAAAGGUGUGCUCAACAGCAGAGGAAGCUUCACCUGUCAGCCUGAUAGGAGUCGCACCUCCCCGGAGAGCUGCGUGGGAAUGCUGGGCAGAAAGUCUAUGUUCACUUCAACGGAAAGUUGGCAGCAACAGCAGAAGACUGGAUAAGAUUCUGAGGAAAUUCCAGUCCAUCCCCUGGGACUGUGCAGUAGUGAUCACGGCUGGAGCAGCGACCAGAUCUGACUUUGCUCUCUGUGUCCACCAGACUGUUGUUCCUUCUGAUUUCUCAUUUCCAAACAAUUUUUUCCCAAUCCCCAAAGCCUAGCUGUGGAGGUUUGAAUAUGCAUGGCCCAGGGAAUGGCACUAUUAGGAGAUAUGGCCUGGUUGGAAGAAGUGUGUCACUCACUGCAUGGUGGGUUUUGAGACCCUUUUCCUAACUGCCUGGAAGAGUCAGUCUUUUUCUGCUUCCCUUUGGAACAAGUUAUAGAACUCUCAGCUCUUUAUCCAGUGUUAUGCCUGCCUGGAUGCUGCCAUCUUCCCGCAUUGAUGAUAAUGGACUGAACCUCUGAAACUGUAAGCCAGCCCCAAUUGUCCUUUAUAAGAGUUGCCUUCAUCAUGGUCUUUCUUCACAGCA
rnacentral:lncRNA from 1 species